rnacentral:tRNA from 1 species
GCCCUAGUGGUGCAAUGGUUAAUUAAGCACUCAGCUGGUAACUGAAAAGUUGGUGGUUCAAAUCCACCUGAGGCU